rnacentral:rRNA from 1 species
CAAUAGCGUAUAUUAAAGUUGUUGCGGUUAAAAAGCUCGUAGUUGGAUUUCUGCCGAGGACGACCGGUCCGCCCUCUGGGUGAGUAUCUGGCUCGGCCUGGGCAUCUUCUUGGAGAACGUAGCUGCACUUGACUGUGUGGUGCGGUAUCCAGGACUUUUACUUUGAGGAAAUUAGAGUGUUUCAAGCAGGCUUACGCCUUGAAUACAUUAGCAUGGAAUAAUAAGAUAGGACCUCGGUUCUAUUUUGUUGGUUUCUAGAGCUGAGGUAAUGAUUAAUAGGGAUAGUUGGGGGCAUUCGUAUUUAACUGUCAGAGGCGAAAUUCUUGGAUUUGUUAAAGACGGACUACUGCGAAAGCAUUUGCCAAGGAUGUUUNCAUUGA